UACGUAGGGUGCGAGCGUUGUCCGGAAUUACUGGGCGUAAAGAGCUCGUAGGUGGUUUGUCGCGUUGUCCGUGAAAACUCACAACUCAAUUGUGGGCGUGCGGGCGAUACGGGCAGACUGGAGUACUGCAGGGGAGACUGGAAUUCCUGGUGUAGCGGUGGAAUGCGCAGAUAUCAGGAGGAACACCGGUGGCGAAGGCAGGUCUCUGGGCCAUAACUGACGCUGAGAAGCGAAAGCAUGGGGAGCGAACAGG
rnacentral:rRNA from 1 species